UACGAAGGGGGGCUAGCGUUGCUCGGAAUUACUGGGCGUAAAGCGCACGUAGGCGGCUUCUUAAGUCGGGGGUGAAAGCCUGUGGCUCAACCACAGAAUUGCCUUCGAUACUGGUUGGCUUGAGACCGGAAGAGGACAGCGGAACUGCGAGUGUAGAGGUGAAAUUCGUAGAUAUUCGCAAGAACACCAGUGGCGAAGGCGGCUGUCUGGUCCGGUUCUGACGCUGAGGCGCGAAAGCGUGGGGAGCAAACAGG
rnacentral:rRNA from 1 species